UGAGAGUGGAGGAACUCACCUUCCAGGGUGUC
rnacentral:piRNA from 1 species